rnacentral:rRNA from 1 species
AUGAUCUUCGGGUGCGGUUGCAGCGCCUUAGGUGGUCGCUCGGACGAGCGCUGGAGGAUGCCGCUGGGAAGGCCGGGGGCCUCUAGCCCCAGGUGCCCUCGUGCCAGGGGAAGCAGCGUCGGGCCGGCGUUGAGAACUUCGGCGUGGAGGGGCGGCCCAGAUCCUCGUUAUUUUUCAUGUGAUCCCCUUUUCUCUUCUUCUGUUCUUGGCCGAACUUGGUGUUUCGUCUGUGAGGACGAUUUUUCUCCUCAAUCCUCUGUCUUCUUUUUGGCAGUUAUUGGAACAUCUCGUCUUCGACGUGAAUCGCGUGGUGGCCGAAACUCUAGUAGCCAACUUCUCCAGACUUCUCCAGUCAUCGUCUGCGGCAAUUGCAGAUCGCCGGAGUGGCCUCCUCUGGCCAUAGAGAGGCCUUGCCGUUUGCCGCCGCUGUCGUCGGCAGUCAUGUGGCGGAUUGAAGCGCCGGAGGGCGCCGCUUCGACGCGCAUACAGAGGAGGGCGUCGUCAACCAUGGGGUGCCUCAGCCGCCUGCAUCGCGCGCUGGUGCUGCGCCGCUGGAGCGCUGUCGAGGCCGAGGGUCCUCGUGUCCUUGGGGCCGGAGGGAGGACACUGAACUUUUUAGUAUGGAAAACGUUUUACGACAACGCGCCGACCGAAACUUCGGCCGGUCGCAUCCACGCACACAGCACCCCUGCCAUUCAGAUCGAGACAAUGGACCCACGCGCCCCAGUGGCGAGGACGGGGGACGCUGCUCCAAGAAACAAUCGGCGUCAUCGGGGGGAUUUGCUACUACUGCGUCCUAUUCGGCUACAACCGCUAUCUUGUUUUGCUGCUGCGGUGGCGAGCGCACCGGUGAGCUGCUACCGUCGCCACCGAAACUACAACCAUCGCCGUGCGGAGCUGCAACCGGGGGGUGCAGCUAUGGUAUGGGUGGAGCCGGCGGCAAGGACGGCCGGCGAGGGCCUUGACUGGAGGGGCGGAGGUGAGGAUUUCUAUGCUUGGGCCUUUGAAAGAUCAGGCAACUACACUGUUAAGUCGGCGUACCGUGCUCUAGUGACUCAGAACGAGCGCAAUGCUCUAAAGGAAGGGGCGGCUACCGGUGCUUCAAGAGAUGACAAACAGAUGUGGUCUGCUUUGUGGAAACUCAAAGUGAUCCCAAAGGAAGAAGCAAACAUGCGCAAGAUUCUUGAAUUGCUGCAGAUGUUCUCGCUAGUUGGAGUAUGGCGCAAGAAUUUUUUAUGA